CCUACGGGUGGCUGCAGUGGGGAAUAUUGGACAAUGGGCGAAAGCCUGAUCCAGCCAUGCCGCGUGUGUGAAGAAGGCCUUCGGGUUGUAAAGCACUUUCAGUGGGGAAGAAAGCCUUGGGGCUAAUACCCUCGAGGAAGGACAUCACCCACAGAAGAAGCACCGGCUAACUCCGUGCCAGCAGCCGCGGUAAUACGGAGGGUGCGAGCGUGUAAUCGGAAUUACUGGGCGUAAAGCGCGCGUAGGCGGUCUGAUAAGCCGGUUGUGAAAGCCCCGGGCUCAACCUGGGAACGGCAUCCGGAACUGUCAGGCUAGAGUGCAGGAGAGGAAGGUAGAAUUCCCGGUGUAGCGGUGAAAUGCGUAGAGAUCGGGAGGAAUACCAGUGGCGAAGGCGGCCUUCUGGACUGACACUGACGCUGAGGUGCGAAAGCGUGGGUAGCAAACAGGAUUAGAUACCCCUGUAGUC
rnacentral:rRNA from 1 species